AUUGACGUGAGUGGCGGACGGGUGAGUAACACGUGGGUAACCUGCCCUUAAGCGGGGGAUAACAUUUGGAAACAGAUGCUGAUACCGCAUAAAAGUUGAGAUCACAUGGUCUUAAUUUGAAAGACGGCCUUUGGCUGUCACUUAAGGAUGGACCCGCGGCGUAUUAGCUAGUUGGUGAGAUAAUACCCCACCAAGGCGAUGAUACGUAGCCGACCCGAGAGGGUAAUCGGCCCACUUUGGGACUGAGACACGGCCCAAACUCCUACGGGAGGCAGCAGUAGGGAAUCUUCCACAAUGGACGAAAGUCUGAUGGAGCAACGCCGCGUGAGUGAAGAAGGUUUUCGGAUCGUAAAACUCUGUUGUUGGAGAAGAACAGGGACUAGAGUAACUGUUAGUCCUUUGACGGUAUCCAACCAGAAAGCCACGGCUAACUACGUGCCAGCAGCCGCGGUAAUACGUAGGUGGCAAGCGUUGUCCGGAUUUAUUGGGCGUAAAGCGAGCGCAGGCGGUUUCUUAAGUCUGAUGUGAAAGCCUUCGGCUUAACCGAAGAAGUGCAUCAGAUACUGGGAAACUUGAGUGCAGAAGAGGAAAGUGGAACUCCAUGUGUAGCGGUGAAAUGCGUAGAUAUAUGGAAGAACACCAGUGGCGAAGGCGGCUUUCUGGUCUGUAACUGACGCUGAGGCUCGAAAGUAUGGGGAGCGAACAGGAUUAGAUACCCUGGUAGUCCAUACCGUAAACGAUGAAUGCUAAGUGUUGGAGGGUUUCCGCCCUUCAGUGCUGCAGCUAACGCAUUAAGCAUUCCGCCUGGGGAGUACGACCGCAAGGUUGAAACUCAAAGGAAUUGACGGGGGCCCGCACAAGCGGUGGAGCAUGUGGUUUAAUUCGAAGCUACGCGAAGAACCUUACCAGGUCUUGACAUCUAGCGCCAAUCCUAGAGAUAGGACGUUCCCUUCGGGGACGCUAAGACAGGUGGUGCAUGGUUGUCGUCAGCUCGUGUCGUGAGAUGUUGGGUUAAGUCCCGCAACGAGCGCAACCCUUAUGAUUAGUUGCCAGCAUUUAGUUGGGCACUCUAACCAGACUACCGGUGACAAACC
rnacentral:rRNA from 1 species